rnacentral:rRNA from 1 species
GGCCUUUUGUUAAUGAUUUAAGGUCUGGCCUGCCCACUGAGUAUUUAAAUGGCCGCGGUAUUUUGACCGUGCUAAGGUAGCAUAAUCAUUAGUUUUUUAAUUGAAAGCUAGUAUGAAAGGUUGAAUGAAAGAAUUUCUGUCUCUAAUUAAUUUUAUUAGAAUUUUAUUUUUAAGUUAAAAAGCUUAAAUUUUUUUAAAAGACGAGAAGACCCUAUAGAGUUUAAUAUAAUAUAAAAUUUUUUAGAUUUGGAAUUUAAUUUAAAAAAUAAAAUGUAUAUUUAAUUGGGGUGAUUAAAAAAUUUAAUUAACUUUUUUUUUAUUAUUAUAUUGAUUUAUAAAUAUAUGAUCCAAAAUUUUUGAUUAUAAGAAUAAAUUACCUUAGGGAUAACAGCGUAAUUUUAUUAUAGAGUUCUAAUCGAAAAUAAAGUUUGCGA